rnacentral:lncRNA from 1 species
UUUUUUUUUUUUUUUUUUGGUGGAAUUCUUCCUCCUAGAAUGACAUGGGCACCAUUAGGCCCGCCUAACCCUAACCCCACCAUUCCUAUCCACUUGCUCUCUAGGGAAUACACCUAUGUAUGUGUGUGUGUGUAAUAUAUAUGUGUGUAUAUGUAUAUUACAUAGGUGUAAAUAUAUAUAUAUAUUACUAUAUAUAUAUUACACACACAUAGGUGUAGGUGUAUAUAUAUAUGUAGGUAUAUAUAUAUGUGUGUGUGUAUAUAUAUAUAUAUAUAUAUAUAUAUAUAUAUAGGUAUAUAUAUAUAUAUGCUCUGUAUGUACAUUUGAAAGGAAGAUUGGGUAAAGAGAAAAGGCAAACAUUUAUUCUGACUCCCUGGCAAGUCUGCACUUAUAAUUUUGUUAUUAUCUUUCAACAUCUAAAGUUGUACCAAUACCUCUGGUGAAAAGAUACUUCUUAAAAUAGGCUUUUUAUUAUGCAGUUUUUUAUAGCUUCAUAUUCAUCCACCAGCAAACAUUUUUGAGUAUUUGCCACAUAUCUAUCAUUUUCUAGGUACUGAAAGUUGCUGAUUAUGUGAAUAAAAACAUCUUUUAAUAACUUUUGUCCACAAUGUAGCUGGUGUAGCUUGUGCUCCAUGACAUCACUUAUAGUUAGGAUGGAAAAGUAUUAAGCACUUAAGAAACAUCCUAACCUACAAAUUAUUUUGAAUGUCUUCAUCCCAUCUUAAUAUCAGUGGAAGAUUUGUUUUUUUGGCACUGUGACUUACACAGACAGAGAGACAAUAUGGCAAAUUUUUCAUGCUUCUAUUACGAAGAAAUGUAAAGACCAUUGUUCUCAGUCAACAUUUUAAGAGAUUUAACUUUAAGGUCAUUCCAUGUUGUAGAAACACAAAGCAUGCCAAAUUUAAUAUUUACAGAAAUCUUAUUUUAGUUUAGACUUCUUUCCUUUUCUUUAAUUGGCAAACCUAAAGUUUCUUUUCCUUCUUCUCUGCCAACAACAGGUUACUGAAUCAUACAUUCAGCAAAAGUAAGCAUUUAGAUAUUGUAUCUAAAGUUUUAACAGAGAGCCAAAAUAGAAAUCUAAAAUAGGCAUUAGUUCAUUUUUGAAAAAAAAAAAAUCCAUUGAUGUGAAGUUAGAAUCAUCUAUCCAUUAUAUAAAUUGUACUUUAAAAACAAUUGGUGUUUUUCUGUUGAUAUUUACCAUUGGUUGAUAUGAUCGUCUCUAUCUAAAAUUAAAAGCUUCUUUCUUACAUAUAAAAAAAUUAAAUGAGCAUUAUUAGCAUUAUGUUAGGAAUACAGAUACAUAGAAGUGGCCUGUGAUCUAGAACAUACUGUUCCAUUCUUAGUCCAAUUUGUGAUUCUCUGAAAACCUUCAUUCCUGUGGUUUUAACUAUAACAACAAAUGUAAGGCCAACUAAACAGUAGAUUCCCAAGAGACAAAUGUCUUACAUUGUCAUCAAAUGUCAGCCCAAAACUGGGGCAGGGAACCCUGGGUGGCGCAGCGGUUUAGCGAUCCUGGAGACCAGGGAUCGAAUCCCACGUCGGGCUCCCGGUGCAUGGAGCCUGCUUCUCCCUCUGCCUGUGUCUCUGCCUCUCUCUCUCUCUCUGUGUGUGUGACUAUCAUAAAUAAAUAAAAAUUAAAAAAAAAAUGUCAGCCCAAAUCUGGGGCAAUACUAGAUGCUGUGCCUGGAGAUUAAUUAAGCCAUUUAUGGUCAGUGUUUCAUUGUUCUUGUUUAAGAAACAAUGACAUAUUGAAAAAAUAAGCAGAUUUCCUCCCCUCUCUCUCUUUGACCUAUAUAGCAUUAGCAUUUUUUUCUUUCCUUCAUCUUACAUUAUUACAAGCAGAGAAUUAACUUGUGAUUCUUCCAGUGUUUUUCUUCUAUUUGUCAGUAUGUUUAUCUGUGUGCAUUGAAGCAUACAGAUUCGAGGAUGAGACAAGAAUCAUGACAAAACCGGCAUUAAACUAAUUUAUCAAAUGCAUAUGAAAUAAUCUUUUUAAGUGCAAAAUAAUGUGUACAUUAAACCAAACUGUCUGACAUUGAGGAAAAAACAGGAAAAAAAAUAUUUUUAAAGUAGGUAAAGCAAUAAGAAAUCGAUGUUU